rnacentral:rRNA from 1 species
UACGUAGGGUGCGAGCGUUGUCCGGAAUUACUGGGCGUAAAGAGCUCGUAGGUGGUUUGUCGCGUUGUCCGUGAAAACUCACAGCUUAACUGUGGGCGUGCGGGCGAUACGGGCAGACUGGAGUACUGCAGGGGGAGACUGGAAUUCCUGGUGUAGCGGUGGAAUGCGCAGAUAUCAGGAGGAACACCGGUGGCGAAGGCGGGGUCUCUGGGGCAGUAACUGACGCUGAGGAGCGAAAAGCCGUGGGGGAGCGAAACAGG